UUCCCCUUCAGUGUUUCAGGCUCAGUGAUAAAGGAGCUGCUGGAUCACUUUCCUGGUUACAUGCAUCCUGGCUUCCCUCCUCCUGGUUUGGAAAGGUGCUUACAGAAGAUUCUUUCAUGCUAGCAAGUCAACUUCUGUAUUUGUUCUGGAGAUUAUAAAUCAGAAAUUAAGAUGUCAUCAAGGUCCUGCUCCCUCUGAAGGCUCUAGAGAAGAACACUAUUUUGCCUCAGCAUCUGGUUGUUGCUGGCAAUCUCUGGUGAUCCUUGGCUUAUAGACAUAUCACUCCAAUUUCUGUCUCUCUCAUUACACAUUAUUCUCCUUAUCUGUCUCUCUUUGUCUU